CAGCACACGCCCAAGCCCACACACACACACACAUAAAACGAGCCACCGCGCGAAGCUGACAAGCCCUCGACGUCCGUUUUAUCUUUUCUUUUUGUGGUUGCGGAGGCGCGCCGUCUCUGUUUUCUUGUCUUCCUUCCUCUCCUGUCCUUGUCUCCGGUCGUUUGUUUGAAGGCGCCGCGACGUUGUCUCCCUUUCGCGACCCUUUCACGGCUGCUCACCGUCCACAAAGGUUUCCUCAUCUCUGUGUGCGUUUUUCAGCCGGUGUUUGGCGGAUUCUCCCUCGACCAUGUCGAUCGCAUCUCGACGGGAGGAGAUUCAACGUCAGCUACAACAGCUGCGUGAUACGCGUGAGCGCGAGCUGGCCGCCUUCGACGCUGUUGCCGCCGCGCACCCGGAGUUGUCGGCAACGGAGAUUACUGCCUUGGCGCAGAAGAAGGCCGAGGCGGAGGUGCCGCAGAGGAUCUCAGUGGGUGGCGUGGAAGUGUCCGUGGGAGCGAGAGUGUCUGUAAAGGAUGACGCUCACCUACUCCACCGCGCCGAUCGCGGCUACUUCGCUGUCGAUCCCCUCAAGGCAGUGUACCUUGGCGAGCAAGGCCAGGUGAUGCGAGUAAUGAAGUCCUUCCAGGGAAAGCCGGCUGUGGAGCUGCGCUUCGCCGACGGUGUUACCAAGGUUUUCUUCGUUGAGUGCCUCGCUCUCUCACAGGAAAGCGAGGACGCAGGCGCGGGGACCAGCGGCCAUGCCGCCGCUCGGCACACCGACCCGACAAGGGGAGUCAAGAGUGUGUCAAGUGCGAAGGUAUUGCUGCUGCCACCAUCGCCACCACAGGCCGAAGCGCUGCCGGGGUGGGGCCACUUGCGCAUGCCACAUCGUCGGCCCUCUGCGCCACUGAGUGCUGCCGUGCUGCCAGCGUUCAUUCCACCACCGCCCCCUCCCACUGUUCAAGAAGCGCGCGGCACCGCGGCCAAGCGUGCGGCGCCGACCCCAGCGCGAGCGUCAUCUUCUUUUCCCGCCCCUGCCGCGCCCGCUACAUCACAGGCGGCCGAGCAGCCGGCGAAGAAGGCAAUCAGUGAGACACGGAAGAAGCCGACUGCGGCUGUUACAACGGCUCGCCCGAUUGUGAAGAAAGAACCGCCGCGCGGGCCGUGUCGGCCAUCGCCCGCUCUGCAUGUGAACUCGCACCCACCGACAGUGAAAGUGGACCUAGCACAGCCGACUCUUUUGCCGGCUGUUGCAAUGGACGCGGUUUUUGAUGAAGGCCUGGGGUCGCCCUUGUCGUGUGUGAUGCAGGACAGCGUGCCACGCCGCACCAGUACCGCAGCAGACUCGGAGGGAAUACCAGACCUUCGCCCAACGCCCGGCUCCUCCAUGUGUGACAUCGAUGCUUUGGUGGAUGCGGAGACGGCGGCGGACUCGGCCGGUGCGGCCUCUGCCAAGGCAGUUUGCUUGCAUAAGGCGUGUGUGACGCCAAAUCAGAUAUUGCCGGAUCUCCGCGAUGAGGCCACAACCCUGACACGGCGACGAUCGAGCACUGCAGACAGCUCAGGCACAAGACUGUGCUGGCUCGCCGGCCUCACCGAGCCUGGCGGCAACCUCUCCGAGCCGCUCCGCAUCUCACUGCAGGCGCAGUGCACCACCAUGUUUGCAGUCUUCGCUGUCGUCACUCGCAAGCUGCGCUGGGAUAAGCAGCGCCUCACGGCCACCCGUCUCUUCACAGACAAGGGUGUCGAGAUCAAGUCGGCGGGCGCUGUGCACGAUGGCAUGCGGCUUGUGGCUACCACAGGGUGCGCCUACAGGUGCGACGGCGUCACAUCGCACUUCGCCGCCGUGGGCGAUGCUCGGCCCUCCCUUACCGCUCCGAGUCGCGCGGCCAAGACUCCGUGCACCCGCCCCACCCCAGCCGCGGCAAGCACUGCGGUCGCUCCUGCUGCAAUUUCGAGCAGCGCUCCUAGCACAACCGCAUCUUCCUCUACACCUGCGUCCCCUUCAAGGAAAGCUGCUGUUGUGCCAAAGCAGUCAAACACGGCGACGGUGUCGAAGCGCCUUGCGCCUUCUCCCUUGACGGCAGCGAAACCCAUCCACAUUCGCGUCUACGAGAACGGCCUCUAUGACGACAACAUCUACCGCACCGUCACGGUGCGCCCGACGCACAAGACGCUCGCCGCUCUUAAAACGGUUAUCACCCGUGAGCUGCAGUGGCGGGAUGGAAAGAAGGUGAGCCUCCUGUUCGAUGCCUCGGGCACGGAGGUUGUAGAGCUUCGCGAUCUUCUCGACGGUGACGCCGUCGUCGCCUCGGCAGGUGACCGCUUUGUUAUUCCGUACCCGAACACCGCCAUCCACAAAGAGGCCGUGAAGCUGUCCGAGCGCUUGUGCUGAGACGGAGAACCGUUGUGAAGUGGCGGGGAGGGGUGAAGCGGCACGAGGCGCUACCGCCGUACAGUUUGUGAUGGGCCGUCUACUGUCGCCAGUCGAUGUGUUCGCCUUGCAAGUGAGUCGGAGGCACACGAAGAGGAACACGAGGUGCCACCAAACAAGACUUCUGUUCCUUGUGGCGCCGUGCUCGCACUCACGCGCCGCGCCUGCGUAUGUGCGCGUGUGUUUCUUUCCGUUUCGUGUGGUUGUUGUUGACGUAGGAGAGCUGAGUCCUCGACAGCCGGCACCUCGGAGGUGGCCCAGCGCAAACACGUGUAUCGAGACCUCGCUACGCCGCUUUUCAUUUCACGCUGCUGUAUGUUGCGAACGUGCAGGUUUGGUGCGACGUCACUGCGUCAACUGGAAUGGGCGGCAUGUGCGCACGGCAGCACC
rnacentral:misc_RNA from 1 species